GAAAUGCGAUAAGUAAUGUGAAUUGCAGAAUUCAGUGAAUCAUCGAAUCUUUGAACGCACCUUGCGCUCCUUGGUAUUCCUUGGAGCAUGCCUGUUUGAGUAUCAUGAAAUCUUCAAAGUAAAUCUUUUGUUAACUCAAUUGGUUUCUACUUUGGUAUUGGAGGUCUUUGCAGCUUCACACCUGCUCCUCUUUGUUCAUUAGCUGGAUCUCAGUGUUAUGCUUGGUUCCACUCGGCGUGAUAAGUUAUCUAUCGCUGAGGACACUGUAAAAGGUGGCCAAGGUAAAUGCAGAUGAACCGCUUCUAAUAGUCCAUUGACUUGGACAAUACUUUUAUGAUCUGAUCUCAAAUGAGGUAGGACUACCCGCUGAACUGAAGC
rnacentral:misc_RNA from 1 species